rnacentral:piRNA from 1 species
UAGAUCUUCAGAUAUUUGGUGGGCACCCA